CACAAAGGCUUGGUCCUGACUUUAUUAUCAGCUCUAGCCAAAUUUACACAUGCAAGUAUCCGCACCCCUGUGAAAAUGCCCCACAAUUCCCUGUUCGGGAAUAAGGAGCCGGUAUCAGGCACAACCUAAAAGAAAGCCCAAGACGCCUUGCUUAGCCACACCCCCAAGGGAACUCAGCAGUGACAGACAUUAAGCUAUGAGUGAAAACUUGACUUAGUUAAAGCUUAGAGGGUCGGUAAAGCUCGUGCCAGCCGCCGCGGUUAUACGAGGGACUCAAGUUGAUAAGAAACGGCGUAAAGAGUGGUUAGGAUGAAAUUCUUACUAAAGCCAAAUGCCCACAGAGCUGUACUACGCACUCGAGGGCCAGAAGACCAUCUACGAAAGUGGCUUUAUACCCCUGAACCCACGAAAGCUAUGAAACAAACUGGGAUCAGAGACCCCACUAUGCUUAGCCCUAAACUUUGGUAACUAAUUACAACUGUUACCCGCCUGGGUACUACGAGCCUAAGCUUAAAACCCAAAGGACUUGGCGGUGCUUCAAAUCCAUCUAGAGGAGCCUGUUCUAGAACCGAUGACCCCCGUUCAACCUCACCUUUUCUUGUUUUUUCCGUCUAUAUACCGCCGUCGUCAGCUUGCCCUGUGAAGGUCUGAUAGCAAGCACAAUUGGCACAGCCUAAGAUGCCAGGUCGAGGUGUAGCGUAUGAAAAGGGAAGAAAUGGGCUACAUUUGGUGAACCCACCACACUACGAAAUAAUGGGCUGAAAUGCCUAUAAGAAGGAGGAUUUAGCAGUAAGAAGAAAAUAGAGUGUUCUACUGAAAUUGGCCCCGAAGCGCGUACACACCGCCCGUCACUCUCUCCAAAGGAGCUUUAUAAGAUACCUAAAAUACAAUAAUCUAAAAGGGGAGGCAAGUCGUAACAUGGUAAGUGUACCA
rnacentral:ncRNA from 1 species